rnacentral:rRNA from 1 species
UACGUAGGGUGCGAGCGUUGUCCGGAAUUAUUGGGCGUAAAGGGCUCGUAGGCGGUUUGUCGCGUCGGGAGUGAAAUCCACUGGCUUAACUGGUGGCUUGCUUUCGAUACGGGCAGACUGGAGGUAUGCAGGGGAGAACGGAAUUCCUGGUGUAGCGGUGAAAUGCGCAGAUAUCAGGAGGAACACCGGUGGCGAAGGCGGAUCUCUGGGCCUUACCUGACGCUCAGGCACGAAAGCUAGGGGAGCGAACAGG